GACGAACGCUGGCGGCGUGCUUAACACAUGCAAGUCGAACGGAAAGGCCCUGCUUUUGUGGGGUGCUCGAGUGGCGAACGGGUGAGUAACACGUGAGUAACCUGCCCUUGACUUUGGGAUAACUUCAGGAAACUGGGGCUAAUACCGGAUAGGAGCUCCUGCUGCAUGGUGGGGGUUGGAAAGUUUCGGCGGUUGGGGAUGGACUCGCGGCUUAUCAGCUUGUUGGUGGAGUAGUGGCUUACCAAGGCUUUGACGGGUAGCCGGCCUGAGAGGGUGACCGGCCACAUUGGGACUGAGAUACGGCCCAGACUCCUACGGGAGGCAGCAGUGGGGAAUAUUGCACAAUGGGCGGAAGCCUGAUGCAGCAACGCCGCGUGCGGGAUGACGGCCUUCGGGUUGUAAACCGCUUUCGCCUGUGACGAAGCGUGAGAGACGGUAAUGGGUAAAGAAGCACCGGCUAACUACGUG
rnacentral:rRNA from 1 species